rnacentral:misc_RNA from 1 species
AUACACUUGGUUUCCGCCUAGAAUAACGAUUGUUGAUUUAUGUUCUUAUUUACAGUUGUAACUCAUAUAUAAAAUAUUUCCUUGUGCUCAUAGUGAACCAUUACAACUUGUAGAAGGACACAGAUUCCACCAGAAAGUCUGCUACUAGCCAUGAACUCUAUGUCUAGCCUGUAUAACAUACAUUAACCAUAUCAACAUUUAUUAACCUAGAAAUAGAAGUGUUUUGUCUACAACAAUAUGUGAGUUACUGGGAGAAGACCCAGUUAGUAACAAAUGUUCUAGUGAUUCUGCUAUGAGAGCAAGAUCAUCAGCAUAUAGUAGCUCCCAUGGGCUUCCAGUCUUAAAUUUCUCUCUUAUGGCCUGGAGAAUAAUGAUGAGUAGGAGGGGGUUGAGGAUUGAGCCUUGGUGAAUAGCUACCUGUACACUAAAUUCGUCACUACUCAUGACUAACUCUUACUUUACUAACAAUACUCCUAUACGUGGUCUGUUCUACUUUUACAAGCCAUUUGUCUACCCUUAACUUCCUCAGAGAUUAUCACAUCACAGAAUGAGAUACUCUGUCAAAGGCAGAGUACCUCUAGAGGUACUCUCUAGAUCAACAAAUGCCAAGUACAACAACUUGUUCCAUGCUAAAUACUUCUCUUGCAGUUGCUUGAUUGUGAAAAUAGUAUUUGUGGUGCUUCUUCCUGGGACAAAACCAAACUGUAUUUCAUCAAAUCUAAUUCUCAGUAUCACUUGAUUGGUUGAAAGACGUACUCUUCAGGAAAGGAGACAAGUAAACUAGCACAAAAAGAGUAUGAGCACCAAUAUACUGUGUAGGUGUGGCUUCAAAACAAAAGGGAAAAUGGUAUGAACACAAACUAGAAGCUGUGAAAGAAAAUGAGAAUUAUAUGAUCUUAUGAGGCUUCUCCAUAAAGACUGAUAUUACUGAAGUAAGACUAGAUAUGAUUAUAGUAGACAAAAUACACAAACAAUGUAAGAUCAUAGACUUUGCAAUUCCCUAUGAUAGCAGAGUUGAUACAAGACAAACUGAAAAAAUAACAGGUUUUUUUAAUAACAAAUAUAUUUAUUUUUAGAAAUGAAUAGAAAAAGGAUUUUUUUUCAUAUGUUGUAGUUACUUAAGGUAAGAUUUACCCUAAUCAAACAGAUCUAUAAUCAAAGGCAUUCCAUCUUUUAUUCUGAUAGUAGAGUGUGGUCUGAGAGAGAUUUGGUCACUGCACCUAGCUGAUCAGAUGGAGAGAAAAGAACCUUCCUUUGGAGACAUUUUCAUACUGUUUAGGUCUGAGCACUUUUGGCAAUUUGAUCCUUUAAAAUAAGAAUACUCUGUCUCUGUUCGGGUGGUAACAUAGAAAUUUGCUGAUCUGUUAGUUGCAGCACUUGCAUUAUCAGAGCAGCCUGCAAUAAACCAAAAAAAA